rnacentral:rRNA from 1 species
AACGAACGCUGGCGGCAGGCUUAACACAUGCAAGUCGAGCGCCCCGCAAGGGGAGCGGCAGACGGGUGAGUAACGCGUGGGAAUCUACCCAUCUCUACGGAAUAACGCAUGGAAACGUGUGCUAAUACCGUAUACGUCCUUCGGGAGAAAGGUUUAUCGGAGAUGGAUGAGCCCGCGUUGGAUUAGCUAGUUGGUGGGGUAAAGGCCUACCAAGGCGACGAUCCAUGGCUGGUCUGAGAGGAUGAUCAGCCACACUGGGACUGAGACACGGCCCAGACUCCGACGGGGGGCAGCAGUGGGGAAUAUUGGACAAUGGGGGAAACCCUGAUCCAGCAAUGCCGCGUGAGUGAAGAAGGCCUUAGGGUUGUAAAGCUCUUUCGGCGGGGACGAUGAUGACGGUACCCGCAGAAGAAGCCCCGGCUAACUUCGUGCCAGCAGCCGCCGUAAAAC